CUCUUGACAUCCAGAGAAUUUAGCAGAGAUGCUUUAGUGCCUUCGGGAACUCUGAGACAGGUGCUGCAUGGCUGUCGUCAGCUCGUGUUGUGAAAUGUUGGGUUAAGUCCCGCAACGAGCGCAACCCUUAUCCUUUGUUGCCAGCACGUAAUGGUGGGAACUCAAAGGAGACUGCCGGUGAUAAACCGGAGGAAGGUGGGGAUGACGUCAAGUCAUCAUGGCCCUUACGAGUAGGGCUACACACGUGCUACAAUGGCGUAUACAAAGAGAAGCGACCUCGCGAGAGCAAGCGGACCUCAUAAAGUGCGUCGUAGUCCGGAUUGGAGUCUGCAACUCGACUCCAUGAAGUCGGAAUCGCUAGUAAUCGUAAAUCAGAAUGUUACGGUGAAUACGUUCCCGGGCCUUGUACACACCGCCCGUCACACCGUGGGAGUGGGUUGCAAAAGAAGUAGAUAGCUUAACCUUCGGGAGGGCGUUUACCACUUUGUGAUUCAUGACUGGGGUGAAGUCGUAACAAGGUAAGCGUAGUGCU
rnacentral:rRNA from 1 species